rnacentral:rRNA from 1 species
AUUGAACGCUGGCGGCAUGCCUUACACAUGCAAGUCGAACGGCAGCACGGGAGCAAUCCUGGUGGCGAGUGGCGAACAGGUGAGUAAUAUAUCGGAACGUGCCCAGUCGUGGGGGAUAACGUAGCGAAAGCUACGCUAAUACCGCAUACGAUCUAUGGAUGAAAGCGGGGGAUCGCAAGACCUCGCGCGAUUGGAGCGGCCGAUAUCAGAUUAGGUAGUUGGUGAGGUAAAGGCUCACCAAGCCGACGAUCUGUAGCUGGGUCUGAGAGGACGACCAGCCACACUGGGACUGAGACACGGCCCAGACUCCUACGGGAGGUCAGCAGUGGGAAUUUUGGGACAAUGGGCGCAAGCCUGAUCCAGC